rnacentral:rRNA from 1 species
AUUGAACGCUGGCGGCAGGCCUAACACAUGCAAGUCGAACGGUAACAGGAAGCAGCUUGCUGCUUCGCUGACGAGUGGCGGACGGGUGAGUAAUGUCUGGGAAACUGCCUGAUGGAGGGGGAUAACUACUGGAAACGGUAGCUAAUACCGCAUAACGUCGCAAGACCAAAGAGGGGGACCUUCGGGCCUCUUGCCAUCGGAUGUGCCCAGAUGGGAUUAGCUUGUAGGUGGGGUAACGGCUCACCUAGGCGACGAUCCCUAGCUGGUCUGAGAGGAUGACCAGCCACACUGGAACUGAGACACGGUCCAGACUCCUACGGGAGGCAGCAGUGGGGAAUAUUGCACAAUGGGCGCAAGCCUGAUGCAGCCAUGCCGCGUGUAUGAAGAAGGCCUUCGGGUUGUAAAGUACUUUCAGCGGGGAGGAAGGGAGUAAAGUUAAUACCUUUGCUCAUUGACGUUACCCGCAGAAGAAGCACCGGCUAACUCCGUGCCAGCAGCCGCGGUAAUACGGAGGUGCAAGCGUUAAUCGGAAUUACUGGGCGUAAAGCGCACGCAGGCGGUUUGUUAAGUCAGAUGUGAAAUCCCCGGGCUCAACCUGGGAACUGCAUCUGAUACUGGCAAGCUUGAGUCUCGUAGAGGGGGGUAGAAUUCCAGGUGUAGCGGUGAAAUGCGUAGAGAUCUGGAGGAAUACCGGUGGCGAAGGCGGCCCCCUGGACGAAGACUGACGCUCAGGUGCGAAAGCGUGGGGAGCAAACAGGAUUAGAUACCCUGGUAGUCCACGCCGUAAACGAUGUCGACUUGGAGGUUGUGCCCUUGAGGCGUGGCUUCCGGAGCUAACGCGUUAAGUCGACCGCCUGGGGAGUACGGCCGCAAGGUUAAAACUCAAAUGAAUUGACGGGGGCCCGCACAAGCGGUGGAGCAUGUGGUUUAAUUCGAUGCAACGCGAAGAACCUUACCUGGUCUUGACAUCCACGGAAGUUUUCAGAGAUGGGAAUGUGCCUUCGGGAACUGUGAGACAGGUGCUGCAUGGCUGUCGUCAGCUCGUGUUGUGAAAUGUUGGGUUAAGUCCCGCAACGAGCGCAACCCUUAUCCUUUGUUGCCAGCGGUCCGGCCGGAACUCAAAGGAGACUGCCAGUGAUAACCG